ensembl:lncRNA
AUGAAAUAUUAAUUUCUGAAUAGUAUUGUUUUAACCGAGGUACUUCAUUAAUCUUUUGUCAUAUUGCAGUAAUUGAAGGAAGACGAGGAGAAGGAACUAUGGCACCGUUGCUCUUGAUACUAUGUGCACUUUCCAUGCUUUAUUACUCACCCUGCACAGCAAUAACUAAUUCAGCAUCUCCAAAACUGAAGACUGAGUUGAGCAUGACAAGUUUUGCAGAGCAGAACAGGUCGGGUCCCUUAAUCUCACCUCUGCUCCUAUCCUACCAACAUUUGGAUGCUUCAGAAGCAUCUGGUGAUGCGAGUGGACUUCUAGAGCAUGAAGAUCAAGGACGCAUGCUCUCUGUUAGCCUACUUGAGGAGAAGUUGUUAAUGCAAGAGGCCGAGGAGAGGAGACACCGAAAAGAGGCGUGGUCUCUGGUUCCACCUCCGCCCCUACUGCCACACAGACUGACACAGCUCUGGGAUGGUGACAGCCCUCUCAAUGAAUCCCAAUCAGACGGGUUGCAUUUCACAGAUGUCACUCAAGCCACCUCUGGCCUAACAUCAGCACUUGACACUGACACUGAAGGAAAUAAAUCCACAGAAUCAACAGACGUCCAUGAUGGCGUGGCUGAGGAUGCUGAUCAGUACUCUAGAACAGAAGAGGUUUUCAAAAAACUUGCUAUUGCUGAUGGUUCACUGAGGACUGUUGCUUAUGAGAAAGAACAUAUGACUCCGACAGCUAAUCCAAGAUUUCCCUCAAGGUCACAUGACUCCCAGAACAGCAGCAUGCUGCAGAUGGUUACUCAGCAAAUCACGGUCAAGCCAGGAGAAGAGUCUACUAACGUGACUGCACCAUCGGAGGCUACAAGAAGCCAGUGUCUUUUGGGUUUGGGCCCUUGUUUGCUCCCAAAGGGUUUGAGUGGUACCAAGCUGCAGUGGGAGGAUCUGAGUCGCACGCUGGCAUUCACUUGGGAGCUGCAUGUCUACAGCUCUGCUGUCCUCUUUCUGGUGUUAGUUGGAGGAGCCUUUUGGGGGAUGGUAUGGGGGACGAGUCUGCUCCGUCCUUACAAAGAGGUUCUCCCACAGGCCAAUGGUUUCCUGCUGCUGGCAGGUCUGCUGAGAUGCACACACUUUCUGAUUGACCCUUAUGGGACACGACACAUAUUACCACGCCCUGCCCUCACUGCCAUCUACAACUUGCCACUUCCUCUUCUGCUGUGGACUCAGGCUAUUUUAUCAAUAGUGGUUUUGCGUGGACAUAGGCUCAACUUUCUGCCCCCCGUAUUGCAGCACCCCCAUGUGGCUGGAGGACUGGCAAUGAUACACUGCAGCCUCCUUUUUGUUUCUGACAUGGUUGCCCAGGUGUCGUCCCCAGCU